UUGACCUCGGAUCAGGUAGGAAUACCCGCUGAACUUAAGCAUAUCAAUAAGCGGAGGAAAAGAAACCAACAGGGAUUGCCCCAGUAACGGCGAGUGAAGCGGCAACAGCUCAAAUUUGAAAUCUGGCUCUCGGGCCCGAGUUGUAAUUUGCAGAGGAUGCUUUUGAUGCGGCGCCAUCCAAGUUCCCUGGAACGGGACGCCACAGAGGGUGAGAGCCCCGUCUGGUCGGA
rnacentral:rRNA from 1 species